GAUGAACGCUGACAGAAUGCUUAACACAUGCAAGUCGACUCGAGUCUUCGGACUUGGGUGGCGCACGGGUGAGUAACGCGUAAAGAACUUGCCUCUUAGACCGGGACAACAUCUGGAAACGGAUGCUAAUACCGGAUAUUAUGGUUUUUUCGCAUGGAGGAAUCAUGAAAGCUAGAUGCGCUAAGAGAGAGCUUUGCGUCCCAUUAGCUGGUUGGUGAGGUAACGGCCCACCAAGGCAAUGAUGGGUAGCCGGCCUGAGAGGGUGAACGGCCACAAGGGGACUGAGACACGGCCCUUACUCCUACGGGAGGCAGCAGUGGGGAAUAUUGGACAAUGGACCGCAAGUCUGAUCCAGCAAUUCUGUGUGCACGAUGACGUUUUUCGGAAUGUAAAGUGCUUUUCAGUCGGGAAGAAGUCAGUGACGGUACCGACAGAAUAAUCGACGGCUAAAUACGUGCCAGCAGCCGCGGUAAUACGUAUGUCGCAAUCGUUAUCCGGAUUUAUUGGGCGUAAAGCGCGUCUAGGCGGCUAGGAAUGUCUGAUGUGAAAAUGCGGAGCUCUACUCUGUAUGGCGUUGUAAACUGCCUUACUAGUAGUACUGGAGAGGUAUGCGGAUCUACAAGUGUAGAGGUGAAUUUCUGUGUUAUUUGUGGGAAUGCCGAUUGGCGAAGCCAUCCAAAGGUACAUAGACAGGUUGCUUAGUUUGAAAGCGUGGGGUGGGAUACAUG
rnacentral:rRNA from 1 species